GGUUUCUAAGCUUAAAGGAUAAGCAGUUGUUUUGAAAACAAUCCUAAAGAGUUCAAUCCUCUUAUUAACCU
rnacentral:tRNA from 1 species